rnacentral:rRNA from 1 species
GGGUUGUGAGGUUAAGCGACUAAGCGUACACGGUGGAUGCCCUGGCAGUCAGAGGCGAUGAAGGACGUGCUAAUCUGCGAAAAGCGUCGGUAAGGUGAUAUGAACCGUUACAGCCGGCGAUGUCCGAAUGGGGAAACCCAGUGCAAUUCGUUGCACUAUCGUUUGAUGAAUACAUAGUCAAACGAGGCGAACCGGGGGAACUGAAACAUCUAAGUACCCCGAGGAAAAGAAAUCAACCGAGAUUCCCCCAGUAGCGGCGAGCGAACGGGGAGCAGCCCGGAGUCUGAAUCAGCUUGUGUGUUAGUGGAAGCGUCUGGAAAGUCGCAGGGUACAGGGUGAUACUCCCGUACACUAAAACGCACAGGUUGUGAACUCGAAGAGUAGGGCGGGACACGUGGUAUCCUGUCUGAAUAUGGGGGGACCAUCCUCCAAGGCUAAAUACUCCUGACUGACCGAUAGUGAACCAGUACCGUGAGGGAAAGGCGAAAAGAACCCCGGCGAGGGGAGUGAAAAAGAACCUGAAACCGUGUACGUACAAGCAGUAGGAGCCCACUAGUUGGGUGACUGCGUACCUUUUGUAUAAUGGGUCAGCGACUUAUAUUCUGUAGCAAGGUUAACCGUAUAGGGGAGCCGCAGGGAAACCGAGUCUUAACUGGGCGUUAAGUUGCAGGGUAUAGACCCGAAACCCGGUGAUCUAGCCAUGGGCAGGUUGAAGGUUGGGUAACACUAACUGGAGGACCGAACCGACUAAUGUUGAAAAAUUAGCGGAUGACUUGUGGCUGGGGGUGAAAGGCCAAUCAAACCGGGAGAUAGCUGGUUCUCCCCGAAAGCUAUUUAGGUAGCGCCUCGUGAACUCAUCUUCGGGGGUAGAGCACUGUUUCGGCUAGGGGGUCAUCCCGACUUACCAACCCGAUGCAAACUACGAAUACCGAAGAAUGUUAUCACGGGAGACACACGGCGGGUGCUAACGUCCGUCGUGAAGAGGGAAACAACCCAGACCGCCAGCUAAGGUCCCAAAGUCAUGGUUAAGUGGGAAACGAUGUGGGAAGGCCCAGACAGCCAGGAUGUUGGCUUAGAAGCAGCCAUCAUUUAAAGAAAGCGUAAUAGCUCACUGGUCGAGUCGGCCUGCGCGGAAGAUGUAACGGGGCUAAACCAUGCACCGAAGCUGCGGCAGCGACACUAUGUGUUGUUGGGUAGGGGAGCGUUCUGUAAGCCGUUGAAGGUGGCCUGUGAGGGUUGCUGGAGGUAUCAGAAGUGCGAAUGCUGACAUAAGUAACGAUAAUGCGGGUGAAAAACCCGCACGCCGGAAGACCAAGGGUUCCUGUCCAACGUUAAUCGGGGCAGGGUGAGUCGACCCCUAAGGCGAGGCCGAAAGGCGUAGUCGAUGGGAAACAGGUUAAUAUUCCUGUACUCGGUGUUACUGCGAAGGGGGGACGGAGAAGGCUAUGUUGGCCGGGCGACGGUUGUCCCGGUUUAAGCAUGUAGGCGGAUGUUCCAGGUAAAUCCGGAACGUCACUAACGCUGAGGUGUGAUGACGAGGCACUACGGUGCUGAAGUGACAAAUGCCCUGCUUCCAGGAAAAGCCUCUAAGCAUCAGGUAACAUCAAAUCGUACCCCAAACCGACACAGGUGGUCAGGUAGAGAAUACCAAGGCGCUUGAGAGAACUCGGGUGAAGGAACUAGGCAAAAUGGUGCCGUAACUUCGGGAGAAGGCACGCUGAUGGUAGGUGAAGCGACUUGCUCGUGGAGCUGAAAUCAGUCGAAGAUACCAGCUGGCUGCAACUGUUUAUUAAAAACACAGCACUGUGCAAACACGAAAGUGGACGUAUACGGUGUGACGCCUGCCCGGUGCCGGAAGGUUAAUUGAUGGGGUUAUCCGUAAGGAGAAGCUCUUGAUCGAAGCCCCGGUAAACGGCGGCCGUAACUAUAACGGUCCUAAGGUAGCGAAAUUCCUUGUCGGGUAAGUUCCGACCUGCACGAAUGGCGUAAUGAUGGCCAGGCUGUCUCCACCCGAGACUCAGUGAAAUUGAACUCGCUGUGAAGAUGCAGUGUACCCGCGGCAAGACGGAAAGACCCCGUGAACCUUUACUAUAGCUUGACACUGAACACUGGUCCUUGAUGUGUAGGAUAGGUGGGAGGCUUUGAAGUGUGGACGCCAGUCUGCAUGGAGCCAUCCUUGAAAUACCACCCUUUAAUGGCUGGUGUUCUAACGUGGGCCCGUAAUCCGGGUUGCGGACAGUGUCUGGUGGGUAGUUUGACUGGGGCGGUCUCCUCCUAAAGAGUAACGGAGGAGCACGAAGGUCAGCUAAUCCUGGUCGGACAUCAGGAGGUUAGUGCAAUGGCAUAAGCUGGCUUGACUGCGAGCGUGACGGCGCGAGCAGGUGCGAAAGCAGGUCAUAGUGAUCCGGUGGUUCUGAAUGGAAGGGCCAUCGCUCAACGGAUAAAAGGUACUCCGGGGAUAACAGGCUGAUACCGCCCAAGAGUUCAUAUCGACGGCGGUGUUUGGCACCUCGAUGUCGGCUCAUCACAUCCUGGGGCUGAAGUAGGUCCCAAGGGUAUGGCUGUUCGCCAUUUAAAGUGGUACGCGAGCUGGGUUUAGAACGUCGUGAGACAGUUCGGUCCCUAUCUGCCGUGGGCGCUGGAGAAUUGAGGGGGGCUGCUCCUAGUACGAGAGGACCGGAGUGGACGCAUCACUGGUGUUCGGGUUGUCAUGCCAAUGGCAUUGCCCGGUAGCUAAAUGCGGAAGAGAUAAGUGCUGAAAGCAUCUAAGCACGAAACUUGCCCCGAGAUGAGUUCUCCCUGACUCCUUGAGAGUCCUGAAGGAACGUUGAAGACGACGACGUUGAUAGGCCGGGUGUGUAAGCGCAGCGAUGCGUUGAGCUAACCGGUACUAAUGAACCGUGAGGCUUAACCUUACAACGCCGAAG